rnacentral:rRNA from 1 species
UGGGGAAUAUUGCACAAUGGGCGCAAGCCUGAUGCAGCCAUGCCGCGUGUAUGAAGAAGGCCUUCGGGUUGUAAAGUACUUUCAGCGGGGAGGAAGGUGUUGAGGUUAAUAACCUCAGCAAUUGACGUUACCCGCAGAAGAAGCACCGGCUAACUCCGUGCCAGCAGCCGCGGUAAUACGGAGGGUGCAAGCGUUAAUCGGAAUUACUGGGCGUAAAGCGCACGCAGGCGGUCUGUCAAGUCGGAUGUGAAAUCCCCGGGCUCAACCUGGGAACUGCAUUCGAAACUGGCAGGCUAGAGUCUUGUAGAGGGGGGUAGAAUUCCAGGUGUAGCGGUGAAAUGCGUAGAGAUCUGGAGGAAUACCGGUGGCGAAGGC